CAGCAGCCGCGGUAAUACGUAGGUGGCAAGCGUUGUCCGGAAUUAUUGGGCGUAAAGGGCUCGCAGGCGGUUUCGUAAGUCUGAUGUGAAAGCCCCCGGCUCAACCGGGGAGGGUCAUUGGAAACUGGGAAACUUGAGUGCAGAAGAGGAGAGUGGAAUUCCACGUGUAGCGGUGAAAUGCGUAGAGAUGUGGAGGAACACCAGUGGCGAAGGCGACUCUCUGGUCUGUAACUGACGCUGAGGAGCGAAAGCGUGGGGAGCGAACAGGAUUAGAGACCCCCGUAGUCCCUGUCUCUUAUAC
rnacentral:rRNA from 1 species